rnacentral:rRNA from 1 species
GGUGCGUGCGUCGGGGGUCGGUUCCUUCUGGUCGUAAACAAAACGACUCUCGGCAACGGAUAUCUCGGCUCUCGCAUCGAUGAAGAACGUAGCGAAAUGCGAUACUUGGUGUGAAUUGCAGAAUCCCGUGAACCAUCGAGUCUUUGAACGCAAGU